rnacentral:lncRNA from 1 species
UUUGGGUUUUAAUCUCUAAUGAGUUGUUUAUUCUCUUUCAAUGAUUCAUUGCUUGAUUAUAAUUCAGAUCUUUCCAAAUUAAACUAUGCCUUACUUGCACUCAUAUUAAAAAAGGAAGCUACCAUUCUCCCAUAUGAUUUCAGGCCUAUUAGUCUUGUUUACAGUUGCAUUAAAAUUAUCUUCGAAGUGCUUGCUAACUAACUUCAACCUUUUAUGAACUCCUUGGUAGACCAUUCUCAGUCGGCCUAUAUCAAGGGAAGAUCA